CUCCCCCUUAUUCAUGUUGCCUCUGCUUUUUAAAGCACUGUCAUCUUUCUGCUCAAAGCAAAACUUUGGUCAGUGCUCAUACAGGGAAGAAACUUUUUAGUAAAAGACUGAAUUGUUUCUCUUGACUUCUGUUUAUUUUUGAGAUGGGGUCUUCCCAGGCUGGCCUAGAACUCUUGGGCUCAAGGGAUCCUUCUGCCUCAAGCUCCCCAAGUGACUGGGACUACAGGCUCGUGCCACUGCACCCAGCUUUUUUCUUGACUUUUGUUCCCAAAGUUUGGUAAGCUGACAUUUUGAUAAUAUGAAUGUUUAAGAUUUUACGUAAAUCAUUAAACUUAGUACCUG
rnacentral:lncRNA from 1 species